GACAGAGGCCUCAAGCGUUAGGCGGAAUCACUGGGCUUAAAGCGUGUGUAGGCGGAUCGUUAAGUGUCUUGUGAAAUCCCACGGCUCACCCGUGGAACUGCUGGGCAUACUGGCGAUCUUGGGCCAACUAGGGGCAACUGGAACAAGCGGUGGAGCGGUGAAAUGCGUAGAUAUCUGGAGGAACACCGGUGGCGAAGGCGGCAUCCUGGACCGGCAUUGACGCUGAGGCGCGAAAGCCAGGGGAGCAAACGGG
rnacentral:rRNA from 1 species